rnacentral:rRNA from 1 species
CAGUAGCCGCGGGAAUACGAAGGGGGCUAGCGUUGCUCGGAAUGACUGGGCGUAAAGCGUACGUAGGCGGAUCGUUAAGUUAGGGGUGAAAUCCCGAGGCUCAACCUCGGAACUGACUCUGAUACUGGCGAUCUUGAGUCCGGGAGAGGUGAGUGGAACUCCUAGUGUAGAGGUGAAAUUCGUAGAUAUUAGGAAGAACACCAGUGGCGAAGGCGGCUCACUGGUCCUUGACUGACGCUGAGGCGCGAAAGCGUGGGGAGCAAACAGGAUUAGAUACCCCCGUAGUCCCUGUCUCUUAUAC